rnacentral:rRNA from 1 species
CAGUUCGGAUUGUAGUCUGCAACUCGACUACAUGAAGCUGGAAUCGCUAGUAAUCGCGAAUCAGAAUGUCGCGGUGAAUACGUUCCCGGGUCUUGUACACACCGCCCGUCACACCAUGGGAGUCAGUAACGCCCGAAGCCGGUGACCCAACCGAUAAGGAGGGAGCCGUCGAAGGUGGGACCGAUAACUGGGGUGAAGUCGUAACAAGGUAUC